UGGGGAAUAUUGGGCAAUGGGCGCAAGCCUGACCCAGCAACGCCGCGUGAAGGAAGAAGGCUUUCGGGUUGUAAACUUCUUUUAUCAGGGACGAAACAAAUGACGGUACCUGAUGAAUAAGCCACGGCUAACUACGUGCCAGCAGCCGCGGUAAUACGUAGGUGGCAAGCGUUAUCCGGAUUUACUGGGUGUAAAGGGCGUGUAGGCGGGCUUGCAAGUCAGAUGUGAAAUUCCACGGCUCAACCGUGGAACUGCAUUUGAAACUGUAGGUCUUGAGUGCUGGAGAGGCAAUCGGAAUUCCGUGUGUAGCGGUGAAAUGCGUAGAUAUACGGAGGAACACCGGUGGCGGAGGCGGAUUGCUGGACAGUAACUGACGCUGAGGCGCGAAAGCGUGGGGAGCAAACAGGAUUAGAUACCC
rnacentral:rRNA from 1 species